rnacentral:rRNA from 1 species
AUCAACUUUCGAUGGUAGGAUAGAGGCCUACCAUGGUGGUAACGGGUAACGGGGUGUUAGGGCACGACACCGGAGAGGGAGCCUGAGAAACGGCUACCACAUCCAAGGAUGGCAGCAGGCGCGCAAAUUACCCAAUCCCGACACGGGGAGGUAGUGACAAUAAAUAACAAUACGGGGUCCUUUGGGUCUCGUAAUUGGAAUGAGUACAAUUUAAAUCUCUUAACGAGGAACAAUUGGAGGGCAAGUCUGGUGCCAGCAGCCGCGGUAAUUCCAGCUCCAAUAGCGUAUAUUAAAGUUGUUGCAGUUAAAAAGCUCGUAGUUGAAUUUCGGGGUUAGUAGAUUGGUCGUGCCUUUGGUAUGCACUGGUCUUACUGACUCCUCCUUCUUGAUGAACUAUGAUGCCAUUAAUUUGGUGUUAUAGGGAAUCUAGACUGUUACUUUGAAAAAAUUAGAGUGUUUAAAGCAGGCUUACGCUUGAAUACAUUAGCAUGGAAUAAUGAAAUAGGACGUUCGAUCCUAUUUUGUUGGUUUCUAGGAUUGACGUAAUGAUUAAUAGGGAUAGUUGGGGGCAUUAGUAUUCAAUUGUCAGAGGUGAAAUUCUUGGAUUUAUUGAAGACUGACUACUGCGAAAGCAUUUGCCAAGGAUGUUUUCAUUAAUCAAGAACGAAAGUUAGGGGAUCGAAGACGAUCAGAUACCGUCGUAGUCUUAACCAUAAACUAUGCCGACUAGGGAUCGGAUGAUGUUAAUUUUUUAAUGACUCAUUCGGCGCCUUACGGGAAACCAAAGUGUUUGGGUUC